rnacentral:rRNA from 1 species
UCCAGACUCCUACGGGAGGCAGCAGUGGGGGAUAUUGCACAAUGAGGGGAACCCUGAUGCAGCGACGCCGCGUGGGUGAAGAAGCGCCUCGGCGCGUAAAGCCCUGUCAGCAGGGAAGAAAAUGACGGUACCUGAAGAAGAAGCCCCGGCUAACUACGUGCCAGCAGCCGCGGUAAUACGUAGGGGGCAAGCGUUAUCCGGAUUUACUGGGUGUAAAGGGGGCGCAGACGGCGAUGCAAGCCAGGAGUGAAAGCCCGGGGCCCAACCCCGGGACUGCUCUUGGAACUGCGUGGCUGGAGUGCAGGAGGGGCAGGCGGAAUUCCUGGUGUAGCGGUGAAAUGCGUAGAUAUUAGGAGGAACACCAGUGGCGAAGGCGGCCUGCUGGACGAUGACUGACGCUGAGGCUCGAAAGCGUGGGGAGCAAACAGGAUUAGAUACCCUGGUAA